AGAGUUUGAUCCGUGGCUCGAGACGACGCUGGCGGCGUGCCUAACACAUGCAAGUCGAACGGAGUAUUGCGCUGAAACGAGAGUAGCUUGCUACAGGAAUUUCUUGUAAUACUUAGUGGCGGACGGGUGAGUAACGCGUGAGGAACCUGCCUUACAGAGGGGGACAACAGUUGGAAACGACUGCUAAUACCGCAUAACAUAUUGAGAGGACAUCCUCUUAAUAUCAAAGGAGCAAUCCGCUGUAAGAUGGCCUCGCGUCUGAUUAGAUAGUUGGUGAGGUAACGGCCCACCAAGUCGACGAUCAGUAGCCGGACUGAGAGGUUGAACGGCCACAUUGGGACUGAGACACGGCCCAGACUCC
rnacentral:rRNA from 1 species